ensembl:lncRNA
CCUUCCAGUAUAAAUCAGAACUUCCCAGGACCCCCUCAGAGAGAUCUACCUACCACAAGCCACUCCAUGCCCACCCCAAUGGCACCAUUUUUCUUUUCUUAAACGUGGAACUGUUCUCAUGGGAGAAAAAUCUUUUUUUUUCUUAUUUUAAAGAAAAAGCCCAAAGAAACAGAAAAGACCAAGAAAGGGUUUCUGCACUUGAGAAGUUCAAAAGCCUGUAUUUCAUUUUACUCACAUAACCACAGAAGUCUCCUCCAUCACACCCAACGGCUGCAGCUCGGCCUCUGCCAAGCCACAACCAAAGGAAAAGCCAGAAGGAAAACACUUUCUGACACAGGAGAGCCAGGAACAUCAAUACAGAGACCAACGUUGCAACCUCACGGAAUCACAGCGUGUGGGAGCUGGAAGGGGCCUUAGAAGUCAUUGCCCAUCCCUUCAUCCUACAGAACAAGAAACUGAGGCCCACACGGACAAGUGAUUGCUCAACCCCUCCAUGCCCGUGAGUGGCACAGGCGGCUGGAAUUGGGCCCGAGUGCCUUGUCUCCGGUUCUCUUUCCAUCACACCAGGAGCCCUUGGGAAAUUUGUGCAAGGACGGCCUCGAGGCCAGUGGGCAAAAGCCAUUUCACAAAUUUGCACAACACAAACUGUAUUCUUCUUAAGCAAAUGUAACAUUAGCCGGUGGUAACCACUGCUGUGGAGAGGUGAUCCUGAGGAUCCAGUUUGGCUGCUGGUCUCCAGAUUACAGAUCAACCAGAAUGUUACACAGAAAGUGAGAAUUAGCCGGAGCCCAUCUCAAAAACACGACCGGAAUUGAACAUCAGCAGGCCACUGCAGUCUACCUUUGGUGCUGGCACGUUGUGUGUGUGAGAAGACUGGCCCCACCAGCUCAGUGGAUGCCUCCACAACUGGCUGAUGGUUUGGUUGUCCCAAGUCAUCAUAUUUUUUCUUCAAAUACACAAAGCCCAACUUGAGGACCAAGACAAAACAACAUAAAUGUCCUUUAAAGCAAAAGUCCCAACCCAGCAACCCAGAACCUAGCAGACCCCAAGGAGCUCAGAUCCAAAAUGACCUCGUAACGACAGUGGAAAAACCCACACGAGAAAACCUUUCGUGAGGAGGGUGCUUCAUAAAAUCCAGCUGAAUAAACCUCAUUUCUCUAAACCGCCUUUCUCUGCUACCUCCAGAAGCCAGCCGCCUCGGGAUCUCAACGUGCCCCUGCAUGGUGACCAUCACCUCCCGUCCUGCUAUGUCUAAACUGCCAACCUCAGCUUCACGCUCGUUCCCUCCAUGAAAGUGCAUGAUUUCUACAUUGAGGCUCCUGGAAUCGCCCCCCUCCUCUUUUUCUCUUUUUUCAGUCCUCCUUUUCCUUCUUUGGGUCCUGAGCACCCUGCCAUUCUUCCAAAACGGCGAAAAGCGGAGGUGGGGGGGGGGCGGGGAAGAGGAGAAGCAAACGAAACUUCCCCACGGCGCUGUGAGUGACUGCUAGGUUUCCAUGGCUCACUUUCCACUGUUCCCGGUGACCCCUGCAGACUCCCCUUAUGAGUGAGUGUCCCGGAAUGUCUCUUUAUUAGGUGUCUGGAGAAGUAAAGCUGUCCUGAUGCCAGCGCCCCCACACUGAGGACUUUAUUAGUUUUUUAAUUUUCUGUCCGGGUGCUCCUGCUGCAUCAAACUUUCCACAGCUGUUAGGAGCUAUUAAGUAAGUAGCCUCAUCGGCCCUUUCCCCUCCCCCACCCCCUUCUUAAUAACACAAGAAACUUCUGGCCCUGCUACAUGGAGCCUUUAAAAUAAAGACACUUUGUCUCUCUGAUGAGAAAUCCUUGGAGGUCUGGGUGAGGAGAGGAUGUCCUGCCGUAAGAAAAGCGCCUUGUCUCGUCGCUGUCUGGGCUCAGAGCGGGCUCUUCAGACGACGUGGGGAACCGAGCCGGGGUGGGGGGCCGGGCAGAAGGGAGAACCCACUCUUUCAGCCAUUCUGCGCAGCCAGGAGGGGACCCGGGGUAGCUCUGACUGUUUUCAGGGCUGACUUGGAAUCCCGCCCAGAGCGUGAUGCCUGGUUCAAAGCGUUCCCUCCUGAUGGACAUUCUAAGACCUGCAGCGAAGGAUAAAACGGAACGAUUUGCUAACGUUCCCCAGGUAGGCACACAGCUGUGGUUCUGUGCAACAGGCCAGGGUUAUUGCUCCUGGCUCCCCUGGGAAGGAAAUCCUGAUCCCCACCCACCCCCGCACCAGCCCCCUCCCUGCCAGCGUCUGUGAGAUGCCUGGCCAUCCACAGGACUCCCUGUGUGUAAAUCCAAAGAUGGGUGCACACACACAUACACACACACAGGCACAGAGCGAUGUAUUAUUAAACCAAGCAACCUGGCCCUUUCCCAUAGCACCCGUGGAUCUGGAAGGUUAUGAGCGCUCAGUGGCAGAGGAGGACAGGCUAAGAGGCUUGAGAGCCCAGAGAAUUCUUAGCAUCCCUCCCUCGCGGCUCCAGCCUGCCUGGCAAUUUGCUUUCCAAUGGCUGCCUUUAAGCCUCCCUUUGAGAAGACCUUAUUUGCAGGGUAAAUGUGAAAGACUAGAGAGAAGAAAACCCUUUGGUGAUGCCCGCCUCGGGAACCAUUUUGCCUCUGAGAGCAAGUUGGUAUUUGGGGUUAAUCCUUUGGUGGAAACAUUGGGUUGAAAGCCCAGAGGAGGUCAGGG